CUUAUGAAAUUCUGUCUUCUUAAAUUUGAAAUAUGUUGCAGUAAUAACUAUAAUAAAAGAAGAAAGGAAGGAAGGGCAUGGAUAUGGGUGCACUGAAUUGUGAUACUUUAUCAUGCUGCGUAAAGACAGAGCAUGUCUUUGUAACCGAUUUUGGAAAGACUGAUCAUUUCAACUGCAUCUUCGACAUCUGUUCAAAUUUAAAUGGAUAGUGUCCAGUACUCUAUCCUUUGAUGGUAAUCAAAAUGCUAAAUUAAGAUUAGUCAGCCUAUUUCUUCCAAGAUUUAGUACACGCGAAUGGGAUCUCAGGAAAAUGAUGGAUGUGAUGCAAAGUGAUAAGUUCCUGCAAUGCAACUAGAAGAGUAACAUCAGCAGAGCUUAACGUUGUCGCCAAAUUCGUGAUCUGCUUGUAGAUGCAGGCGAGAAGUUUCACUCUUCCGCACAAGAAUACAAGAUGUCUCCGUUUGAAGAAAAUCUAAUUUGUUAAAAGCCGAAUUUACUUUCUGCCGAAGCUUGCUAAUAUCAAAUUCCACUCCUUCAAGACAUCAUCGGCAACGUCUUCGUCCUGCAGAACGAACAUCAACUUUCUACUUGAUGCUCAUUGUUUGAAAACACAGCCUAAAUGGAAGAUUAAAACUGGUGAUUCAUUUUAAAAGUAGUUAUGUUAAAAUUUUUAAACUUAUUUGGAGCUUGUUCACCAACCCUUAGAUCUAGUAUUCGAAUGAAAGGAUUUCAGAAGUUUUAUGACCGGAAUAUAAUCUUGUAUUUAAACACAAAGACCAAAUAGUAUUUCGAAAUUAGUAGCUUCUGCAUUAGUACUUGCCUAAAAUAUCUUUGCAACGUGUGAAACUUUGAAUUAAAACAGAAGCUGACACAUUGCCCAACAAUAGUUCGAAAUUAAAACUUAGUGCACGUUCGUAAACAAAUACAAAGCUUCAGUGUAAAAAUUUUAACUUUGAUUUUGUAUUUCCAUAUUGUUCACGUGCAGAGUAAAAACUGAGAAUGUAACAAAAGCAUUUAAAAAUCUCGAUACUGGAAUAAUUAAUGACCAUUAUAAUUAAUCAUAUGAAACUCUCAAAGCUGAAUCCAGGUCAAAGCAUCAAAGUGCAAGGCAUUUCAGUCUAAUAGGAAAGUUCUUUAAUAUCCAUCAGGUACAUCAUUUACAUCGGAAGAACAAGUACGUGCUCUACAUUG